GGGUUGUGAGGUUAAGCGAACAAGCGUACACGGUGGAUGCCCUGGCAGUCAGAGGCGAUGAAGGACGUGCUAAUCUGCGAAAAGCGCCGGUAAGGUGAUAUGAACCGUUAUAACCGGCGAUGUCCGAAUGGGGAAACCCGGUGCACUUCGGUGCAUCAUCGUUAGCUGAAUACAUAGGCUAACGAGGCGAACCGGGGGAACUGAAACAUCUAAGUACCCCGAGGAAAAGAAAUCAACCGAGAUUCCCCCAGUAGCGGCGAGCGAACGGGGAACAGCCCAGAGCCUGAAUCAGCUUGUGUGUCAGUGGAACGGUCUGGAAAGGCCGGCGAUACAGGGUGACAGCCCCGUACACGAAGGCACACAGGCUGUGAGCUCGAUGAGUAGGGCGGGACACGUGAUAUCCUGUCUGAAGAUGGGGGGACCAUCCUCCAAGGCUAAAUACUCCUGACUGACCGAUAGUGAACCAGUACCGUGAGGGAAAGGCGAAAAGAACCCCGGCGAGGGGAGUGAAACAGAACCUGAAACCGUGUACGUACAAGCAGUGGGAGCCUUCGUAAGAGGGUGACUGCGUACCUUUUGUAUAAUGGGUCAGCGACUUAUAUUCUGUAGCAAGGUUAACCGUAUAGGGGAGCCGAAGGGAAACCGAGUCUUAACCGGGCGUUAAGUUGCAGGGUAUAGACCCGAAACCCGGUGAUCUAGCCAUGGGCAGGUUGAAGGUUGGGUAACACUAACUGGAGGACCGAACCGACUAAUGUUGAAAAAUUAGCGGAUGACCUGUGGCUGGGGGUGAAAGGCCAAUCAAACCGGGAGAUAGCUGGUUCUCCCCGAAAGCUAUUUAGGUAGCGCCUCGUGAACUCAUCUCCGGGGGUAGAGCACUGUUUCGGCUAGGGGGCCAUCCCGGCUUACCAACCCGAUGCAAACUGCGAAUACCGGAGAAUGUUAUCACGGGAGACACACGGCGGGUGCUAACGUCCGUCGUGAAGAGGGAAACAACCCAGACCGCCAGCUAAGGUCCCAAAGUCAUGGUUAAGUGGGAAACGAUGUGGGAAGGCCCAGACAGCCAGGAUGUUGGCUUAGAAGCAGCCAUCAUUUAAAGAAAGCGUAAUAGCUCACUGGUCGAGUCGGCCUGCGCGGAAGAUGUAACGGGGCUAAACCAUGCACCGAAGCUGCGGCAGCGACGCUUAUGUGUUGUUGGGUAGGGGAGCGUUCUGUAAGCCUGCGAAGGUGUGCUGUGAGGCAUGCUGGAGGUAUCAGAAGUGCGAAUGCUGACAUAAGUAACGAUAAAGCGGGUGAAAAGCCCGCUCGCCGGAAGACCAAGGGUUCCUGUCCAACGUUAAUCGGGGCAGGGUGAGUCGACCCCUAAGGCGAGGCCGAAAGGCGUAGUCGAUGGGAAACAGGUUAAUAUUCCUGUACUUGGUGUUACUGCGAAGGGGGGACGGAGAAGGCUAUGUCGGCCGGGCGACGGUUGUCCCGGUUUAAGCGUGUAGGCUGACUUUCCAGGCAAAUCCGGAAGGUUAAGGCUGAGGCGUGAUGACGAGGCACCACGGUGCUGAAGUGACAAAUGCCCUGCUUCCAGGAAAAGCCUCUAAGCAUCAGGUAACAUCAAAUCGUACCCCAAACCGACACAGGUGGUCAGGUAGAGAAUACCAAGGCGCUUGAGAGAACUCGGGUGAAGGAACUAGGCAAAAUGGUGCCGUAACUUCGGGAGAAGGCACGCUGACAUGUAGGUGAAGCCCCUGCGGGUGGAGCUGAAGUCAGUCGAAGAUACCAGCUGGCUGCAACUGUUUAUUAAAAACACAGCACUGUGCAAACACGAAAGUGGACGUAUACGGUGUGACGCCUGCCCGGUGCCGGAAGGUUAAUUGAUGGGGUUAUCGCAAGAGAAGCUCCUGAUCGAAGCCCCGGUAAACGGCGGCCGUAACUAUAACGGUCCUAAGGUAGCGAAAUUCCUUGUCGGGUAAGUUCCGACCUGCACGAAUGGCGUAAUGAUGGCCAGGCUGUCUCCACCCGAGACUCAGUGAAAUUGAACUCGCUGUGAAGAUGCAGUGUACCCGCGGCAAGACGGAAAGACCCCGUGAACCUUUACUACAGCUUGACACUGAACAUUGAGCCUUGAUGUGUAGGAUAGGUGGGAGGCUUUGAAGCGUGGACGCCAGUCUGCGUGGAGCCGACCUUGAAAUACCACCCUUUAAUGUUUGAUGUUCUAACCUGGCGCCGUGAUCCGGCGUGGGGACAGUGUCUGGUGGGUAGUUUGACUGGGGCGGUCUCCUCCCAAAGUGUAACGGAGGAGCACGAAGGUCAGCUAAUCCUGGUCGGACAUCAGGAGGUUAGUGCAAUGGCAUAAGCUGGCUUGACUGCGAGAGUGACGGCUCGAGCAGGUGCGAAAGCAGGUCAUAGUGAUCCGGUGGUUCUGUAUGGAAGGGCCAUCGCUCAACGGAUAAAAGGUACUCCGGGGAUAACAGGCUGAUACCGCCCAAGAGUUCAUAUCGACGGCGGUGUUUGGCACCUCGAUGUCGGCUCAUCACAUCCUGGGGCUGAAGUAGGUCCCAAGGGUAUGGCUGUUCGCCAUUUAAAGUGGUACGCGAGCUGGGUUUAGAACGUCGUGAGACAGUUCGGUCCCUAUCUGCCGUGGGCGCUGGAGAAUUGAGGGGGGCUGCUCCCAGUACGAGAGGACCGGAGUGGACGCAUCACUGGUGUUCGGGUUGUCAUGCCAAUGGCACUGCCCGGUAGCUAAAUGCGGAAGAGAUAAGUGCUGAAAGCAUCUAAGCACGAAACUUGCCCCGAGAUGAGUUCUCCCUGAGACUGUAAGUCUCCUGAAGGAACGUUGAAGACGACGACGUUGAUAGGCCGGGUGUGUAAGCGCAGCGAUGCGUUGAGCUAACCGGUACUAAUGAACCGUGAGGCUUAACCUUACAACGCCAAAGAAGU
rnacentral:rRNA from 1 species